CACGUAGGGCGCAAGCGUUGUCCGGAAUUAUUGGGCGUAAAGAGCUCGUAGGCGGACUGUCACGUCCUGCUGUGAAAAGCUGGGGCUUAACCCUGGCCUUGCAGUGGAUACGGGCAGACUAGAGGUAGGUAGGGGAGAAUGGAAUUCCCGGUGUAGCGGUGAAAUGCGCAGAUAUCGGGAGGAACACCGGUGGCGAAGGCGGUUCUCUGGGCCUUACCUGACGCUGAGGAGCGAAAGCGUGGGGAGCGAACAGG
rnacentral:rRNA from 1 species